rnacentral:rRNA from 1 species
AUUGAACGCUGGCGGCAGGCUUAACACAUGCAAGUCGAGCGGAGAUGAGGUGCUUGCACCUUAUCUUAGCGGCGGACGGGUGAGUAAUGCUUAGGAAUCUGCCUAUUAGUGGGGGACAACAUUCCGAAAGGAAUGCUAAUACCGCAUACGUCCUACGGGAGAAAGCAGGGGAUCUUCGGACCUCGCGCUAAUAGAUGAGCCUAAGUCGGAUUAGCUAGUGGGUGGGGUAAAGGCCUACCCAGGCGACGAUCUGUAGCGGGUCUGAGAGGAUGAUCCGCCACACUGGGACUGAGACACGGCCCAGACUCCUACGGGAGGCAGCAGUGGGGAAUAUUGGACAAUGGGGGGAACCCUGAUCCAGCCAUGCCGCGUGUGUGAAGAAGGCCUUAUGGUUGUAAAGCACUUUAAGCGAGGAGGAGGCUACUGAGACUAAUACUCUUGGAUAGUGGACGUUACUCGCAGAAUAAGCACCGGCUAACUCUGUGCCAGCAGCCGCCGUAA